UUAGCCAUGCAUGUGUAAGCGAAGCGAUUAGUGAAGCGGCGGAAGGCUCAGUAACGGGCGAGUAUUUAAUCUCUAGAACCGGACAACCUCAGGAAACAGAGGGGAAAACGGAGUAAGAGCAUGUGUUGUUAGCAUGUGAUGAGAACAACAGUGCAGGAGAGUAAGAAGCCAUCCCAUCAGUUAGUAAGUAGGGUAAGGGCCUAUUUAGACGUAACGGGUACGGGGGAUUAGGGUUUGAUUCCGGAGAGGGAGCCUGAGAGACGGCUACCAGGUCCAAGGACAGCAGCAGGCGCGAAAAUUACCGAAGCCUCCAAGAGGGCGGUAGUGAAAACGUGAAAACAAGUGUGUGUAAAAACCACAUGAGUAACUGGAGGUCAAGGCUGGUGCCAGCAUCCGCGGUAAUACCAGCUCCAGGAGUGUCUAUGAUGAUUGCUGCGAUUAAAAGGUCCGUAGUCGAAGAACAGUACUUGUUUGUAAUGUGGCUUAUCGAGAGCCGAAUAGAACGAGAAGAGUUCAGAGUAAGGAGCGAAGGAGGGCUAGAUUAUUGAGCAGCGAGAGGUGAAAUUUGAUGACCUGCUUAGGAGUAACAGAGGCGAAAGCGCUAGUCAAGAACGAAUCCGAUGAUCAAGGACGUAGGCUGGAGGAUCGAAGACGAUUAGAGACCGUAGUAGUUCCAGCAGUAAACGAUGCCUACGCUGUUGUGGUUAUGAGCACCGCAGAAGAGAAAUCUAGUAAGGCUUUGGGGAGAGUACGCGCGCAAGCGAUAAAUUUAAAGGAAAUUGACGGAAGAACACCACAAGGAGUGGAGUGUGCGGCUUAAUUUGACUCAACGCGGGACAGCUUACCAUACCCGAUGGCCGUGUGAGCGUAGUACGCGAUAGGUCAGAGAGUGGUGCAUGGCCGUUAACGACGAGUGGGGUGACCUUUGGGUUAAGUCCGCGAAGUAGUGAGAUCCCUAGGAUACGAAAGUUAUCGACAGGUGUUAAAAACACAGGAAGGAAGGGGCAAGAACAGGUCAGUGAUGCCCUUAGAUGGUAUGGGCUGCACGCGCACUACAGUGGUCACAGCAGAAACGGAUAGAAGUAAAUGUGAUCGAGAGGGAAUGAGCACUGUAAUGUGCACAGGAACGAGGAAUUGCUAGUAAUCGUUAUCUCAUUAAGAAGCGAUGAAUGUGUCCCUGUUCUUUGUACACACCGCCCGUCGUUAUCGAAGAUGGAACCAGGUGCGAACAAGUGAAAGCGAGUGUACUAGCGGUUCUAGAUCUGAUACAAGUCGUAACAAGGCAGCUGUAGGAGAACCUGUAGCUGGAUCAACUAGUUAAUUACUUAUGUUAUGAAUCAUAUCUAUAUUGAUAUUAAUAUUGAUGUAGAUAUAGAAAUACUGUUAUUAUUAUUAUUUAUAUUAUACCACACACAAGGGAUCGUUUGGCUCCUGGGACGAGGAAGGGCGCAGCAGAGAGCGAUAUGUGUGGGAGCAGCAAGCAAUGACCACACGUCCCCGAAUACAGCAUAGUGCUGGAGUACUCCUUGGAAUUAAGCAUAUGAGUAAAGGAAGGAAAAGAAACCAACGAGGAUUCCCGUAGUAGCGGCGAGUGAACAGGGAACAGUCCAACAGUGUAAUUCUCAAUUGAGAAGUUGUCAAAAGGAAGAGGAUAUGAAUCAGAAAGAAAAGCUGAACGAUACAGGGUGAUAGUCCCGUAGUGUCUUCUUACAUACAGUGAGUAGCUGUGCUCGGUAAUGCACAGUGAAGAGGUGGCAGUGUGCAUCUAAGACUAAAUACAGCAGGAGACCGAUAGCAAAGAAGUAGGUUGACCGAAAACAUCUA
rnacentral:rRNA from 1 species